rnacentral:tRNA from 2 species
GUGAAUAUAAUUCAAGGGUUAGAAUAUAAAUUUGUGGUAUUUACUGUUUCUGGUUCGAGUCCAGAUAUUCACC